rnacentral:rRNA from 1 species
UACGUAGGGACCGAGCGUUGUCCGGAAUCAUUGGGCGUAAAGAGCGUGUAGGCGGCUAUUUAAGUCCUGCGUGAAAUCCUGCGGCUCAACCGCAGACGGUCGUGGGAAACUGGAUGGCUAGAGUGCGGGAGAGGAGAGUGGAAUUCCCGGUGUAGCGGUGAAAUUCGUAGAUAUCGGGAGGAACACCAGUGGCGAAGGCGGCGACCUGGACAGACACUGACGCUGAGACGCGAAAGCGUGGGGAGCAAACAGG